CUCCCCUCUGCCGCAGCCCAGCUCCUAGCGCGUCAGCGUGGGCUUCCCGGAGCGAGUCGCUAGGUAACAGGGCUGGCUCCGCAGACCCGGGCCAGGGAAGCCCGCGCGCGUCGUCAGCAUCUGCGCCGCGGGGCGGGGGACUCACGGACCCUCCCCAAUCCGGACCUGCAGACCCCCUGAACUGGCUCGCGGUCCCCUCCCUGGAUGCCUUAAGGGUGCUGUUGAGCUGCCCCUCCCCCGCGGGGACCCCGACGUCGCCGCCCCCUCCUUCUCCCCCGCUGGUGCGCACCACUCUCCCCGCGGCCAGGUGGGCGACCCUCCGCUGCGGUUGCGGUGGCGGCCGAGAUCUUCCCUCCCAGCCCAGGCGCGGGGCAUGAAGAGCCCCCGGGUAUCGCCUGCGGACAACCCAGCCACGCGCACACCUCGCCAGCGGCUGACGGGGACAUGAGCAGCACGAUCGGGCUCCGGUGCUGGGCGACCAGCCUCAGCCGGCAGCGGCCAGUGGGUCCUUGCUGCCUGGGAGAAUGAGGCAGGAACCCGCGGCCACCUCUCUCUCUUCCUUCUUCUCGCCUUCCUCUGGCUCCCGCGCCCCAGGCCCGGGCCAGGCUGUGGCUCUGCUGCGUGCCCUGCGCGCCCCCCACCUGCCUCCGGAUGCUCUUCUCGGUUAGCCUGGCGAGGAAGAUAAAGACAUUUGCAACCAAGAUGGUAAUCACGAGUGGAAAUGAUGAAGACCGGGGAGGCCAAGAGAAGGAGAGCAAAGAAGAGAGCGUGCUGGCCAUGCUGGGCAUCAUUGGGACCAUCCUGAACCUGAUCGUCAUCAUCUUCGUAUACAUAUAUACCACCCUGUGAAUGGCCCCACGCAGCCUCGGCGGCCUCAAGAUGGCCACGAGACACAGGUCCUGUGUGUCCACAUAUCGGUGACCGGACACAGCAGGGGGCCAGUGGGUUUGAAGACCACACACUGCUUCAUCAAUGCACCUUCGAACUUUCUAGUAGGUCACCAAAUGAACCCAUCCUGCUGUGAGGAGCAGACACUCUGAAGCACAAUGAAUCCAACAAAACUCAUUCAGGCCACGAGGAACUCAGCGUCUCUGACUGGGCGCCUGACGGGAUGCUGGAAAGACCAGCCUUCGGCACUAGUGGUGAGCAAACGAGUGAGGAAAUGCCUCAUCCUGGAGUGCUGACCACAUCCCGUAAUGGAAAGGAGGAUGAGCCGAGCAGAUGCAGCUCAGCUGCCCACCUCCUGGGACCAGCUCUAGGGGUGGUCCGCUCACAGGCAUCCCAUUCAUCAGAUGUUUCCAGCUGUUUGAUACGGGAGAUAACUUAUUUUUCAUUUUUCAUUGGCUUGAUGUGUGUAUCUGUUCAUAUCAAGGUAUAUAAAUAUAUAUUUUUAAUAAAUGUGCUCUAUUUUUUAGCAUGAACCAAAUAUUUGGAGAAGCGCUUCUGGAUCCAUAGCCUUUCUUGGUUUUAAUCGCUUUGCUCCAUCAACCACAGGACAUCUUUUUCUGUAGCUUUCCAGUUGUCUCAGCUCAUCUCAACUCUUUUGCCUUCAUGCUCUUCUCUCUCCCCAUCUCUGCCCCUCCGUUUUCUCCUCUCAUUCCUCUUCCCCUCUCUUCUCCCCUUCUCUCCCCUCUCUUGUCUUCCCUCCCAUUCUCCUCUCCUCCUCUCCACUCCUCUCCACUUCUCUCCCAUUCUCUCCUCAUCUCUUGUCUAGAGGACAUUUUUCUGUAAUACCAGCCAUGGUCUUGGCUGGUGCAUGUUUCAAGAUUGUCGAGCGGCUUUUCGUUGUUCUGUCAGAGAUCUAAAAUGAUUGUGGGCAUGCAGACCUUAGAUGCACCCUGUCUUUCGUGAGAAUUAUGCAUGAACAAGGGCUGAGUGACAGAUCAGCUUUCCACAUAUUUUGAAAGGACUACCACUAAGGAAGAUGAGCGUGGCCCUGCCUGCAGGUCACCCGUGGGAUGGAGCAGUCAGUAGCUCACUGGCAGUGGUGCUCAUUCACUCCUGUAACCAUUCUUUUAUCAGAUUUUGAUUUUUUUGUGACUGUGAGAGAUGGGAAUGUGUUAAGCUCAAUGUGUGCCAUCCCUUCUUUGGUGAGAUGCCUAGGGGGUGGUCUCUUCAGAAGUCGGUGGGAUGUGAAUGAUGGGAAACCUCCCCACUGUAAGCACGCAUUCACAGUCAGUUCCUGCUGUAAAGAUGCCUCUGUGACAAGUGACCCUUCAAGGGCAUUCGCAGGGGACUUAACGAUCUCUGUAAAGGACCCCUUGCACAUUUUAAAGCUGGUUUCCACCCACAUGAAGCUGUUUUCUCUCUGAGGGGGCGGUUGAAUAAAUACAAAUUUGCCCUGCUCCCUGGCUCCCUAACAUAGCCCCCAGCCUGGCUGCCAUGGACGGCCUUAAGGAGAGGGUCAGUGUUCAUUCCACCCCUGGCAGAAACAGCAACAGCCUGCCCCAGUGGAUUCUGAUGAUACACACCGAGGGGGUCUCUGCCUAACCCCCUUCCUUAAAUGACACCAAGAAGGAGUCAUUUCUAGGGCUCCACUAAGGGACCAGUUUCUCUUAUAAAUCAAAUACCCGUGAGCACCUGGCUCUGGCCAGAGGUGUCUCCAUUUCCCCACCAGAAGGAAGGACACUUUGUACACAAGCCACCGGGGCCCUCUUAGUUGCCUGAGAGAAAGAGCCUCUCACCUGUGAAGAAACAAGGACAGCUCAGACCAGGAAUCUUCCCCGAGAUUACCUGGCACCCAGUGGAGUCAGGUCCUAGCCCCAGCCUGUCCAGUUCCUUAUCCCAGCGAGGGAAAGGCUAUUGUUUUGCGGAGGGCCAGCUCUGCAUACCUCCCUACCCCUCCCCCAUAACAGGAAACAACCUGAGAACUUCUUGGACACUGGCAGAAUAGGACACAAAGACAGCAGGGAAAGGCUAAUUAGAAAUGUGAGAGCCGUCUAGGGGAGAGCGCUACCUACAGGCUGUGUGAUUCGGAAAAACUGUAAUUCUGGACAGUGCACAAUAAAGGUGCCAUGGGGAAAAACA